GACAACUAUCCACCUGAUGGUUAAGUAAAUUUUGUAAAAAUAUUUGCAGAUUAUGCAAAUUAUGUGUACCUCAGUGUAUAGUAUUCAUGUAUGCAUGAAAAUAAAUGUGUUUUUUUUAAUUUCAGUGCAAAUCACUCUUCCAACAACUGAAUAUAAAUUGGUUUGUCAAAUAUGUUCUUUGGUGUAUGAUCAGAUCCUGUAUAUAUAUACUAUAGUAUAGAUCUAACAAACUGUUAAAAGAAAAGAAAAUUAUCUUUUAGCUGCUGUGGAAAAUUUUCAAAGGAUAGGAUUAUUGAUUAUGAACAACAGGAUUAUAUCAUCAUGACCAUUGGAAUCUUACAAGGAGAAGUGUCAGUAAAGGAAGGAAUUCAUGAGCAAAAAUUAUAAUAUUGUAAACAGGAGAACAGUUAAAAUAAUACUAACAGUUCAACAGUUUUGUGAGACCAAGAGCAUUAGGCAGAGUAAACUUGGAGUGUAUAUAUGUCAACCACAAGUACAUUUAAAUACCACAUAAUGCUAAUGUAAUAAGAACUAUGGUACACCAGUUUGUAUGAUUGUGAAUAUCGGGUCCCCAAAAAAAUGUAUUUGUUAAAUAAAUAGAAUUGAAAUAACCAA